CAACUUCCACCUGGCUUACCUCCUCAGUUAUGCGUCAUGACUUGUAUUGUCUUGAGCGUAUUGUGGGUUUCCUGUGUUGCAUACCUUUCUAAUGGUAUCGUGUUGAUUGAUCGAAGUCCCUUUUCAUCUUGUGUUGCUUUUUGCGACGCAUGAUGAACCUCGAGGCGGUCUCUAUGUUCCACCACGUUGAUGCUAGCGUUUUGAUGUUGUGGCCCAUUGAGUGUUGCUUGGUUUCGUGGAUACAGAACAUGAUUUGGGCAUAGGGUUACUUGUGUGACUCUUGUUUUGUCCUUUAUCUGUGUUCUUUAAAACGACGGUUCAUGCGCGCCUAGGCUCGUACCUGCGCGAUGUUCUUUGUCGAAGAGGAAUGCUACCUGGUUGAUCCUGCCAGUAGUCAUAUGCUUGUCUCAAAGAUUAAGCCAUGCAUGUGUAA
rnacentral:misc_RNA from 1 species